rfam:Ictidomys tridecemlineatus contig051692, whole genome shotgun sequence.
GUGGAUAUAGUUCAGUUGGUAGAAUGCUUGCCUUACAUGCACAAGGCCCUGGGUUCGAUCCCCAGCACACACA